rnacentral:rRNA from 1 species
CAGUAGGGAAUAUUGCGCAAUGGACGAAAGUCUGACGCAGCCACGCCGCGUGAGUGAGGAAGGCCUUCGGGUUGUAAAGCUCUGUCGCCUGGGAAAAACGGCUAUUGGGGGAAAGUUCCAGUAGCGUGAUGGUACCAGGAGAGGAAGCACCGGCAAACUCUGUGCCAGCAGCCGCGGUAAUACAGAGGGUGCAAGCGUUGUUCGGAAUUACUGGGCGUAAAGCGUGCGUAGUCGGUAUUGAGAGUCGCGGGUGAAAUCCCAGGGCUUAACCCUGGAACUGCCUGCGAGACCUCAGUACUAGAGUGUGAGAGGGGAUAGUGGAAUACCCAGUGUAGCGGUGAAAUGCGUAGAGAUUGGGUGGAACACCGGUGGCGAAGGCGGCUAUCUGGCUCACAACUGACGAUCAGGCACGAAAGCGUGGGGAGCAAACAGGAUUAGAUACCCUGGUAGUCCACGCCGUAAACUAUGCAUACAAGCUGUAGUGGGAUUUUACUCCUGCUGUGGCGAAGCUAACGCA